rnacentral:rRNA from 1 species
CCGGCGACCGGCGCACGGGUGAGUAACACGUAUGCAACCUGGCCGUCACAGGUGGAUAACCGGAAGAAAUUCCGACUAAUACAGCAUAACACUCCUGAGGGACAUCCCUUGGGAGUCAAAGGAGGCAACUCCGGUGACGGAUGGGCAUGCGGCGCGUUAGGUAGUUGGUAGGGUAACGGCCUACCAAGCCGACGAUGCGUAGGGGUUCUGAGAGGAAGGUCCCCCACAUUGGAACUGAGACACGGUCCAAACUCCUACGGGAGGCAGCAG